rnacentral:rRNA from 1 species
CAGCAGCCGCGGUAAGACAGAGGAUGCAAGCGUUAUCCGGAAUGAUUGGGCGUAAAGCGUCUGUAGGUGGCUUUCCAAGUCCGCCGUCAAAUCCCAGGGCUCAACCCUGGACAGGCGGUGGAAACUACCAAGAUGGAGUACGGUAGGGGCAGAGGGAAUUUCCGGUGGAGCGGUGAAAUGCGUUGAGAUCGGAAGGAACACCAACGGUGAAAGCACUCUGCUGGGCCGACACUGACACUGAGAGACGAAAGUUAGGGGAGAAAAUGGGAUUAGAUACCCGCGUAGUCCCUGUCUCUUAUAC